rnacentral:lncRNA from 1 species
CAUUGUGUGUAUUUCCCCUGGAGCGAACAGCUGUGUGUGACUGAGACUGUGUGUGUGGACAUAGCAUUAUUCAUCAGGGGGUACCAUCUCCGGGAGUUGGUUUGUGAGCAGAGUCCCUGACUGAGGGCUGGUACAAAGAAUAUUGCUCCUAUUUACCUCAUCUAUUCCUCACGAUCUUCUAAGGAGGAGGACUGCAUCCAAGGCUGAUACUACUACCUGGGGUAACAACUGGGGUGAAUACGGUCUGACACAGCGGAUACUCUAAGCGAUACGUCUGGUGACAUCACAGACAUGGACGCGGAACCCGACAGCGACGUGGAGCAGGACUUGGACCAAAUGCUUGGAACAUGGCUUGGGGAACUGGAAACAAUGACCAAGUCGAUUGAUGCUGAUUUAGGAGAUUCAUGUCAGAGCAAACCUGCCCCUCUCCCCCAACACAAUCAACACUUGGAACAUUAGACAACUUCAGCUUUUCGGCUUUCCAGCUAGCUCGUAAGUUUUUAAUAUACCCUUCGCAUUAAACAAGGAAAUCUGUAAUUUGCUAUACUUCUCUGUAUAAUAAUGAAAAUUUGCUACUAUUUUCAUACUUUUUUGUGUGUUUAAAUUUUUUUCUUCUGAUUAUUACUGGCAUACCUUGACCCUUACCAGCCUUUAAUAGCUUGCUGUACCCUUCAUAGUUUACACUAAAUGGGAAGUCAGUGACACUUCUCAUCAGAAUCAUUAUAAUUAUUUCCAUACUUUUAUUCAUAGUUUUUUUAAACUUGUAAUAAUGGAUCCCUUCUAUUUCUCUUCUUCCUAGCCUCUCUGCUAGCUUAAACUCAUACCAUUCAUUGUUAAUAUUAAAUAGGGAAAUGUGUACCGGUACACUAAUCACUCUCUUCUAUAUUAAUAGCUCAAACUUUCCCUCAUUUCCAAUAUAUUUUUAUGCUCAUCAUUCUCUUUUCUACUAAUGACAGGUGGUUUAUUCUUGAUUUUCAAUCUUUACCUUGAAGCAUAUUCCAAAAAAGAACCUCUUUGCGUUAAUUGAUUACAGGAAUGUCACUUACGGUUUGAGUAUGUUCAUAUAGCAAGCUCCCCUGCCAGCAAAACCAAUUUUCAUGUUUUUCAAAUUAUAAAAAAAAAUGUCACAGAGCAUAAUUCAAUUUCCUACUCAUUUUUAUGCUUCAAUACAAGUUUCCUUUGCUCAUUUGCUAUUAAACAUCUGUGUAAAGUAACAUUUCAAGAUAUCUUCUUAAUUUCAUCCAUCCGUGCUUCUAAUCUUCCAUUUUAAUCUUCUCUCCUUUCUUCAUAACAGUAAUAUUAAUUUUGAUCUGAAAUGUCUUAUUUCAACAUACACGUUUAUUAAUAAUUCAGUUGAUUGAAAGAAUGUCCAUCAUUCUGUCAUACUGUAACAAUCAUCUUUUAUCUUUCAUUCUCUGAUAUACAGGAUAUUUGUUUUAAAUUGAUACUUGAAAUAGAAUAAAAAAUGAAUUCCAAGAAACUCUUUCCUCAUACAAAAUAUUAUCCUAUAAAACUUUUGGAUUGGAUACUUGCAGAAUUAUAAAGAAGACUAAUAUUCACAUGCAUGAUGCAUGAUCCAGGUUUACUCUAGAUAGGAGAUUUCAUACCUGCCUGAUUACAAAAUUACCCAUCAAAUCCAAGAACGUAAGAUGUUUUCGUGGUUUCAUGACUUUUGCACUGGCGACAAUUGCUCUGUUCUAAUCAAAUAUCGAAGUAAAUUCAUGAGUAUUUUGUGAUGGAGUGGGUAUGAAGGUGCUCUUUUCCUUGUUUUGAAUCUCGAUAUCAAAUUCAUAUAACUUAAAGAUC